ensembl:snRNA U1 U1 spliceosomal RNA
AUAGUUACCUGGCAGGGGAGACACCUUGAUCACAAAGGAGGUUUACCCAGGGUGAGGCUCGGCAAAUGCACUCUGGUCGUGCUAACCCCUGCAAGUUCCCCAAAAUGUGGGAAUCUCAACUGAAUAAUUAU